rnacentral:lncRNA from 1 species
AUCCAGGUGUGCAUCACCACUCCUAUAUGAAACCUCCCCUUAGCAAUUUUGAAAUAUCUAUUGCACUACUGUGUAGUCAUUAUUUUGUGCAAUCACUAAAUCUUUCUUUUUCUUUUCCUUUUUUCUUUUUUUUUUUUGAGACAGGGUUUCUCUGUGUAGCCCUGGCUGUCCUGGAACUCACUCUGUAGACCUGGCCUCGAACUCAGAAAUCCACCUGCCUCUGCCUCUCAAGUGCUGGGAUUAAAGGCAUCCACCACCACACCUGGCUUCUUUAUUUUUCUUAACUGACAUGUUGUACUCUUAGAUCAGCAUUUCUCCUUUCCCUGUAUGUUCUUUUCCCCAGACCUCUGUUAAACAUCAUCUCAUUCUCUGCUUUUAUAGAUGUUCUUAAAUGUUUGGUAGAGUAAUAAUAAGUCAGACUUGUCUCUUAGAUUUUACAUAACACCAAAGUCAUAAGGCAUUUGUUUUUUUGUGCACAACUUAUUUCACUUUAAUCUUUUUCCACAUCCACAUUACUAUACUAGUACAUCCACAUUACUAUAGAUGACAGCAUUUCCUUAUUUUUUCAAACCUUUUUGUCUCUUUAUGUGUGAGCGUGCGUGCGUGCAUGUAUGUUCCCUUUUCAAGUGCAACAAGCACUGGUAACUGCUGUGCCAUAUUUCCAACUCCCCAAACUACAUUAUUAUUAUUAUUAUUAUUAUUAUUACUACUCUACUACCAAUUUAAGUUAUGUGUACAUGUAUCUCUGUAUGGGUUUGUACAGUGUACAUGGAAGUCAAAAGGUAUUGGAUUUCCUGGAGUUAAGAGUUAGAGGGGGUUGUAGGCUGCUCAGCAAGGAACAGAGCAGAGCAUGCUCAACCACUGAGCCAUCUCUCCAGGCUGGUUUUCCUUUUUACAGUAUUUUACUCUGUACACAUGUACCGCUUUUUUUAACCUGAUCAUCUGGUAAUGAAAACUGAUGUCACUCCCUAUAUUGACUAUUGUGCCAUAGUAAGCAUGGGAGUAUAACAUUUUAGUUCACUGAUUUAUAUGGAGAAGUCAGAUUACUGAAUCAUGUGACAAUACUAUUUUUAAAGUAUUGAGGGACCCUUAUACCGCCUUCCAUAAUGGUUUUGUUAAUUCUCAUUAGUACCAACAGUACAAAAUAGUUCCCUUUUCUCCAGUACCCCACCAGUGCAUUUCAGUUUUAUUGUCAGUUUUCUUAUCAUAAUACUCAACAUCUUCCCAAAUACUUAUUCACCCAUCACAUUUUUUUAGUUGUUUAAAUUUUUCAUAUUUGGAAUUAGAUUGCUUAAUGUUUUGCCAGAUAGUGCAAUGUCUUGCUCUUUACUUCAAUAGUAAUUUCAGAAAGCAAAAGCUUACCAUUUUUAUAAAUUCCAAGUAGCAUUUAUGCUUGUCAACUUUUAUGAUUUAUAAAAUUGGGUAAUAAAAAAAACUUUGUCUAACCUUGAAGUGAAAAAGAUUUUCUUCUUGGUUCAUGGGUUCAUCUUUAUGUGUAAUGGUAUUUCACUAGCAUACUUUUCAAUUAUGAGUUGUCCAGGUGUUUGUAUUCUGAUGUUAAUUCUGCUUCCUCAAGAGGGGUUGCCACUGAUGAGGGGCCCAUUACAAGCUCGGGUGAUCUUAUGGGAACCUUCUCCCCAUUUUAACUGGUCAAUAAAGGCUAGAGCUUGUGAUUGGGCAGUGGAGGAGAAAGGUGGGACUGGAGUUUUGAGAGUGGGUGCAGGUAGAGAGAGAGGCAGAAGAGUACCAGAGGGGAAGGAGAGAGAACUGAAGAGGAGGAGGAGGAAGCCUUGAUGGGCCAGAAGAAACUGCAAGUAACAAGGGGUCUUUUAGCUAGGGAAUAAAUUAGUAUAGUGUUAGAUCUGCCCCAUCUAGUGUGUAGCUUAUAAUUAUAGUAACUGGAUUGUGUGUUUUUAUAAGGGCUUAUUGGGGUUGGAAAUUCCAGCAACACCAUCUUCCUUGCAUAUUCUUAGUAGAUUAGUUAUUAGACAUGUAUGACACGUGUCUUAUCUAUAGACACAGAAUUUUUAAAUGUGGGAGUCAUAUUACUUAUAUACUUACCUUUUCAAAUGCUUUUCAUUCCCUUUGUAUAGGUCUAACUUGUUGAAUUUCCUCUGGCCAGUGUGAUAGAGUUCUUAGAAUGCAGUCUGCUAGUUUGUAUAUAAGUUUCUAUUUUGAAAGAUAUUUCUCCUGAUUGUAGAAUCCUAAAUCAAUAUUAUUUCUUUGUCAGUAUUUUGAACUGUCUACACCUGGCUUCCAUACUUUGGUGAGAAUUUUUCAUUUUGUUUCAGCCACUUAAUUUUAUAUCCAGUAAGAUUUUUUUUGAGGUAGUAUCUUUUAACAUCUAGCACAGUAUAUGACAUUUAAGUACCUAGAAAAUGAUAUUAACCUGAUUUAGACAAAAAAAUGUUAACACCAACCACCGGUUCUUUAAAUGUGUUCAUGUUAAAAAGUCUAAAAUGACCCUGAGAAAUGUAGUAUGUAUGUAUGUAUGUAUGUAUGUAUGUAUGUAUGUAUGUAUAUGCACCUUAAUGCAAACUAGACACAGAGUUUUCUGGUACUCAGACUUUCUUUAUCUGACAUCCAUGGGAGGGGAGGGAGGCUUGAUGACCCAGAGUAGGGGGAUGCUAGAGGGAUGAGGGGAGUGGGUGAGUGGGUAGAGGAGCGCCCUCAUAGAGGCGGGGGCGGGGGGGCUAGAGGGAAUGGGAUGGGAAGGUCUGUGGACAGGUAACCAGGAAGGGGGAUAUCAUUUGAAAUGUAACUGAACAAAAUGAUUAAUU